CUGCCCUUGUGAUCCACCCACCUCAGCCUCCCAAAGUGCUGGGAUUGCAGGUGCGAGCCACCGGGUCCAGCCUCUCAGGCGAUUUUCAUACCUGCAUACUCUGAUCACUACUCUGUUAAACAGUCAAGGAGGCUGAGUGCCACGUGCUGACGUCACUAAGAUCAAUACAGCAAACUCUGAAAGAUGGACAGAGAGACAGGAGAUGGUCCUUUAUAAUGCAGUGUGAUCUGUGCUGCAAUAGAGUUUUGGAAGCUAGAAGUUCAAAACGAGGUGUUGGCAGCACCAUGCUCUCUCUGAAGAUGCUAGGAAGAAUCUGCUCCAUGCCUUUCCAUUCGCUCCUGGGGUUUCCUGCAAGCCCUGACAUUCCUUGGCUUGUAGAUGCAUCACCCCAGUUUCCGCCCCCAUCAUCACAUGGCCUCCUCUCUGUGUGUGCCUCUGCGUUCCCUCUAUUCUUCUUCUAAGGACACCGACACCAGUCAUAGUGGAUUAAGGGUCCACUCCUAACCAAUUACAUCUGCAACAACCCUAUUUCCAAAUAAAGUCACAUUCUAAGAUUCCUAGGGAGAACUGAAUUUUUGGGGGUGUGUGGAUACUGUUCAACCUGGGAAUGGAGUAAAUAAAUGGCAAGGAAGAUUACAGAUGACUUUAAGCUAAAGAGGGAGAUAGGGUUAAAUGUAGGACUUUUUUUUUCCAGGACGGGAGAGGUUUAAACAUGUUACUACAUUGAAUAAAUGAAAUAA
rnacentral:lncRNA from 10 species